rnacentral:rRNA from 1 species
GCGGCCAACUAUGUGCCAGCAGCCGCGGUGACACAUAGGCUCCAAGCGUUGUCCGGAUUUAUUGGGCGUAAAGAGCUCGUAGGCGGUUGAGUAAGUCGGGUGUGAAAACUUUGGGCUUAACCCAAAGAUGCCACUCGAUACUGUUUAACUUGAGUUCGGUAGGGGAGCGGGGAAUUCCUUGUGUAGCGGUGAAAUGCGCAGAUAUAAGGAGGAACACCGGUGGCGAAGGCGCCGCUCUGGGCCGAUACUGACGCUGAGGAGCGAAAGCGUGGGGAGCAAACAGGAUUAGAUACCCUGGUAGUCCACGCGGUAAACGGUGGUCACUAGGUGUGGGUUUCUAUCAAUGAGAUCCGCGCCGUCGCUAACGCAUUAAGUGACCCGCCUGGGGAGUACGGUCGCAAGACUAAAACUCAAAUGAAUUGACGG